rnacentral:rRNA from 1 species
UACAGAGGUCCAAGCCGUUGUUCGGAUUUACUGGGCGUAAAGGGUGCGUAGGCGGUGGGGUAAGUUUGAGGUGAAAGCUCCGGGCUCAACCCGGAAACUGCCUUGAAAACUAUCCGGCUAGAGGGUUGGAGGGGAGACUGGAAUUCUCGGUGUAGCAGUGAAAUGCGUAGAUCUCGAGAGGAACACCAGUGGCGAAGGCGGGUCUCUGGACAACACCUGACGCUGAGGCACGAAAGCCAGGGGAGCAAACGGG